AAACCCCCUCGCCGAAAGACUAAGGUUUCCUGAUCAACGCUAAUCGGAUCAGGGUUAGUCGGGUCCUAAGGCUCAGCCGAACGGUGAGGCCGAUGGCAGAACAGGUUAAUAUUCCUGUACUACCUUAAGGAGUGACGUGGAGACGGAGGCGUGACAGCGCCGCGGACUGACGGAAUAGUCCGUUGAAGGGUGUAGAUGUUGAUUAUCCCAGGCAAAUCCGGGAUAAGAGUCGAACCUGAUAGUAUACCAAAUUCUUCGGAAUAAGGUAAUAGUGCGUGUAAGCAUACUCCCAAGAAAAUCCGCUAAACUUAAUCUUUAAGGUACCCGUACCGCAAACGGACACACGUAGUCGGGUUGAAUAUACUAAGGCGCUUGAGUGAUUCACGGUUAAGGAACUAGGCAAAUUGACCCUGUAACUUCGGGAUAAAGGGUCCCAACGAGAGUUGGGCGCAGAGAAUAGGUCCAGGCAACUGUUUAACAAAAACACAGGGCUGUGCCAAAUUGAAAGAUCACGUAUACAGCCUGACACCUGCCCGGUGCUGGAAGGUUAAGAGGAGAUGUCAUCGCAAGAGAAGCAUUGAAUUGAAGCCCCAGUAAACGGCGGCCGUAACUAUAACGGUCCUAAGGUAGCGAAAUUCCUUGUCGGGUAAGUUCCGACCUGCACGAAUGGUGUAAUGAUCUGGACACUGUCUCAACCGUGAGCUCGGUGAAAUUGUAGUAUCGGUGAAGAUGCCGAUUACCCGCAACGGGACGAAAAGACCCCGUGAACCUUUACUGCAGCUUUGCAUUGUGACCGGGUGCUCGAUGUGUAGGAUAGUCAGGAGGCUAUGAAACAGCCACGCCAGUGGUUGCGGAGCCGACGUUGAAAUACUGACCUUCGCGCAUCUGGUCUCUAACGCCCAGGGGGCGGACAUUGCAUGGCAGGUAGUUUGACUGGGGUGGUCGCCUCCAAAAGAGUAACGGAGGCUUCUAAAGGUGCGCUCAGGCCGAUUGGUAACCGGCCGGAGAGUGUAAUGGCACAAGCGCGCUUGACUGGGAGACCAACAAGUCGAUCAGGUAGGAAACUAGAGCAUAGUGAUCCGGUGGUUCCGCAUGGAAGGGCCAUCGCUCAAAGGAUAAAAGGUACUCCGGGGAUAACAGGCUGAUCCCUCCCAAGA
rnacentral:rRNA from 1 species